rnacentral:rRNA from 1 species
GACGAACGCUGGCGGCGUGCUUAACACAUGCAAGUCGAACGAAGUGGCGAACGGGUGAGUAACGCGUAAUCAACCUGCCCUUCAGAGGGGAACAACAGUUGGAAACGACUGCUACUACCGCAUACUGAAGGAGGGGAUUGCGUCGGUUUAGCUAGUUGGCGGGGUAACGGCCCACCAAGGCGAUGAUCAGUAGCCUGGCUUGGAGGGUGGACGGCCACAUUGGGAAUGGGACACGGCCCAGACUCCGACGGGAGGCAGCCGUGGGGGAUCUUCCGAAAUGGACGGAAGUCUGACGGAGCAACGGCGCGUGAGUGAUGACGGCCUUCGGGUUGUAAAGCUCUGUUAAGCGGGACGCGGUACCGGAAUAGAAAGCCACGGCUAACUACGUGCCAGCAGCCGCGGUAAUUC